UACGUAGGGGGCAAGCGUUGUCCGGAAUCAUUGGGCGUAAAGCGCGUGUAGGCGGCUCGGUAAGUCCGCUCUGAAAGUCCAGGGCUCAACCCUGGGAUGCGGGUGGAUACUGCCGGGCUCGAGUCCGGAAGAGGCGAGUGGGAUUCCCGGUGUAGCGGUGAAAUGCGCAGAUAUCGGGAGGAACACCAAUGGCGAAGGCAGCUCGCUGGGACGUGACUGACGCUGAGACGCGAAAGCGUGGGGAGCAAACAGG
rnacentral:rRNA from 1 species